rnacentral:rRNA from 1 species
ACCCAACAGGGCAUUGCCUUAGUAACGGCGAGUGAAGCGGCAAAAGCUCAAAUUUGAAAUCUGGCACCUUCGGUGUCCGAGUUGUAAUUUGAAGAAGGUAACUUUGGAGUUGGCUCUUGUCUAUGUUCCUUGGAACAGGACGUCACAGAGGGUGAGAAUCCCGUGCGAUGAGAUGUCCAAUUCUAUGUAAAGUGCUUUCGAAGAGUCGAGUUGUUUGGGAAUGCAGCUCUAAGUGGGUGGUAAAUUCCAUCUAAAGCUAAAUAUUGGCGAGAGACCGAUAGCGAACAAGUACAGUGAUGGAAAGAUGAAAAGAACUUUGAAAAGAGAGUGAAAAAGUACGUGAAAUUGUUGAAAGGGAAGGGCUUGAGAUCAGACUUGGUAUUUUGCAAGCCUUACCCUCGUGGUGGGGUCCCCUGCAGUUUACUGGGCCAGCAUCGGUUUGGAUGGUGGGAUAAUGACAUUGGAAUGUGGCUCUGCUUCGGUAGAGUGUUAUAGACUUUGUUGAUACCACCUGUCUAGACCGAGGACUGCGUCUUUGACUAGAUGUUGGCAUAAUGAUCUUAAGUCGCCC